rnacentral:rRNA from 1 species
UGAACGCUGGCGGCGUGCCUAAUACAUGCAAAUCGAGCGACCAGAUGAGGAGCUUGCUCCUCUGACGUUAGCGGCGGACGGGUGAGUAACACGUGGAUAACCUACCUAUAAGACUGGGAUAACUUCGGGAAACCGGAGCUAAUACCGGAUAAUAUAUUGAACCGCAUGGUUCAAUAGUGAAAGACGGUUUUGCUGUCACUUAUAGAUGGAUCCGCGCCGCAUUAGCUAGUUGGUAAGGUAACGGCUUACCAAGGCAACGAUGCGUAGCCGACCUGAGAGGGUGAUCGGCCACACUGGAACUGAGACACGGUCCAGACUCCUACGGGAGGCAGCAGUAGGGAAUCUUCCGCAAUGGGCGAAAGCCUGACGGAGCAACGCCGCGUGAGUGAUGAAGGUCUUCGGAUCGUAAAACUCUGUUAUUAGGGAAGAACAAAUGUGUAAGUAACUAUGCACGUCUUGACGGUACCUAAUCAGAAAGCCACGGCUAACUACGUG